rnacentral:lncRNA from 1 species
AGAACCGUGUGCUUUCCAUGGCAGAUUCUGGACUGCAGAGGGAGAUGAACUUCGGGAGGGAUGUGCUAGUGAGCGGCUCCAGAGAAGCCUGUGGAUUGUCUUAUGCAUUACCUCUGACUGACAUGAUUUUCUCUCUAGCUGCCCUAACUUCAGGGAAUACUUACUUUUCUGAACACCCCCUUCAACUACCACUUGCAUACUGAAUAACUAACUGUAAAGGAAAAAAGCCCUUAAAAAGAAGACAACUCAGAAACACCAGAAAAUACUGCCAUAAACCGAAGAUUUUACAAGCUUCUGGAUGUAAGUUACCUAUA